GGGGCGGCCUAUACAUGCAGUCGAGCGGACAGAUGGGAGCUUGCUCCCUGAUGUUAGCGGCGGACGGGUGAGUAACACGUGGGUAACCUGCCUGUAAGACUGGGAUAACUCCGGGAAACCGGGGCUAAUACCGGAUGGUUGUCUGAACCGCAUGGUUCAGACAUAAAAGGUGGCUUCGGCUACCACUUACAGAUGGACCCGCGGCGCAUUAGCUAGUUGGUGAGGUAACGGCUCACCAAGGCGACGAUGCGUAGCCGACCUGAGAGGGUGAUCGGCCACACUGGGACUGAGACACGGCCCAGACUCCUACGGGAGGCAGCAGUAGGGAAUCUUCCGCAAUGGACGAAAGUCUGACGGAGCAACGCCGCGUGAGUGAUGAAGGUUUUCGGAUCGUAAAGCUCUGUUGUUAGGGAAGAACAAGUGCCGUUCAAAUAGGGCGGCACCUUGACGGUACCUAACCAGAAAGCCACGGCUAACUACGUGCCAGCAGCCGCGGUAAUACGUAGGUGGCAAGCGUUGUCCGGAAUUAUUGGGCGUAAAGGGCUCGCAGGCGGUUUCUUAAGUCUGAUGUGAAAGCCCCCGGCUCAACCGGGGAGGGUCAUUGGAAACUGGGGAACUUGAGUGCAGAAGAGGAGAGUGGAAUUCCACGUGUAGCGGUGAAAUGCGUAGAGAUGUGGAGGAACACCAGUGGCGAAGGCGACUCUCUGGUCUGUAACUGACGCUGAGGAGCGAAAGCGUGGGGAGCGAACAGGAUUAGAUACCCUGGUAGUCCACGCCGUAAACGAUGAGUGCUAAGUGUUAGGGGGUUUCCGCCCCUUAGUGCUGCAGCUAACGCAUUAAG
rnacentral:rRNA from 1 species